UACGGAGGGUGCGAGCGUUUUCCGGAAUCACUGGGCGUAAAGGGCGCGUAGGCGGCCUGGUAAGUAGGGGGUGAAAUCUUGCGGCUUAACCGCAAGGCUGCCUUGUAAACUGUCGGGCUCGAGCACAGUAGAGGCAGGUGGAAUUCCCGGUGUAGCGGUGGAAUGCGUAGAGAUCGGGAAGAACAUCAGUGGCGAAGGCGGCCUGCUGGGCUGUUGCUGACGCUGAGGCGCGACAGCGUGGGGAGCAAACAGG
rnacentral:rRNA from 1 species